UACAGAGGUCUCGAGCGUUAGUCGGAAUCACUGGGCUUAAAGCGUGCGCAGGCGGUGAGUUAAGUCUGCUGUGAAAGCCCCGGGCUCAACCUGGGAAUGGCAGUGGAAACUGGCUCGCUGGAGUAUGGCAGAGGGGGGUGGAAUUCCGCGUGUAGCAGUGAAAUGCGUAGAGAUGCGGAGGAACACCGAUGGCGAAGGCAGCCCCCUGGGCCAAUACUGACGCUCAGGCACGAAAGCGUGGGGAGCAAACAGG
rnacentral:rRNA from 1 species